rnacentral:rRNA from 1 species
ACGGCUCAGUAACACGUGGACAAUCUAACCUAAGGUGGGGGAUAACCCCGGGAAACUGGGGAUAAUACCCCAUAGACUAUAGAUGCUGGAAUGCUUUGUAGUCGAAAGGUCAGCCGCCAUAGGAUGGGUCUGCGGCCGAUUAGGUAGUUGUUGGGGUAACGGCCCAACAAGCCUGUAAUCGGUACGGGUUGUGGGAGCAAGAGCCCGGAGAUGGAUUCUGAGACACGAAUCCAGGCCCUACGGGGCGCAGCAGGCGCGAAAACUUUACAAUGCGGGAAACCGUGAUAAGGGAACUCCGAGUGCCCGUUAAAUCGGGCUGUCCAUCAGUUUAAAAACUGGUGAAGAAAGGGCCGGGCAAGACCGGUGCCAGCCGCCGCGGUAAUACCGGCGGCUCGAGUGGUGGCCACUAUUACUGGGCUUAAAGCGUUCGUAGCUGGUUUGUUAAGUCUCUGGGGAAAUCUUCCGGCUUAACCGGAAGGCGUCUCAGGGAUACUGGCAGACUAGGGACCGGAAGAGGUGAGGGGUACUCCAGGGGUAGGAGUGAAAUCCUGUAAUCCUUGGGGGACCACCUGUGGCGAAGGCGCCUCACCAGGACGGCUCCGACAGUGAGGGGCGAAAGCUGGGGGAGCAAACCGGAUUAGAUACCCGGGUAGUCCCAGCCGUAAACGAUGUGCGUUAGGUGUAUCGGUGACCACGAGUCACCGAGGUGCCGAAGAGAAAUCGUGAAACGUACCGCCUGGGAAGUACGGUCGCAAGGCUGAAACUUAAAGGAAUUGGCGGGGGAGCAC